rnacentral:rRNA from 1 species
UACGUAGGGGGCAAGCGUUGUCCGGAAUCAUUGGGCGUAAAGCGCACGUAGGCGGCCUAGCAAGUAGGGAGUGAAAGCCCUCGGCUUAACCGAGGAAGUGCUUUCUAAACUACUAGGCUUGAAUACUGGAGAGGGUCGCGGAAUUCCCGGUGUAGAGGUGAAAUUCGUAGAUAUCGGGAGGGACACCAGUGGCGAAGGCGGCGAUCUGGACAGAUAUUGACGCUGAGGUGCGAAAGCGUGGGGAGCAAACAGG